rnacentral:rRNA from 1 species
GUAGGUGGCUAGCGUUGUCCGGAAUUAUUGGGCGUAAAGCGCGCGCAGGCGGUUCUUUAAGUCUGAUGUGAAAGCCCACGGCUCAACCGUGGAGGGUCAUUGGAAACUGGAGAACUUGAGUACAGAAGAGGAAAGCGGAAUUCCACGUGUAGCGGUGAAAUGCGUAGAGAUGUGGAGGAACACCAGUGGCGAAGGCGGCUUUCUGGUCUGUAACUGACGCUGAGGCGCGAAAGCGUGGGGGAGCAAACAGGAUUAGAUACCCUGGUAGUCCACGCCGUAAACGAUGAGUGCUAAGUGUUAGGGGGUUUCCGCCCCUUAGUGCUGCAGCUAACGCAUUAAGCACUCCCGCCUGGGAGUACGGCCGCAAGGCUG